UAGUGCGGAAAAUACGGUAAUUAUGUUUUUCAUGGUACAGUCCAAACACAAACAGCUUUGGCUCAAGAAUUAUUUGUUUGGAAAUUAUUUUCCUUAUUACAUCUUUUACCUCUUUCCAAAACAGUGUAAUUAUCCUACAAUACCACAUGCAGUGAACCAGAGUUCCUCUGUCCUCUGUGCAUUUUGGACAUAUAUCAGGUAUCUCCCUGUUAUACCUAUUAAGGUCCACUGGUGUUAUUAUAUAAACACGCAUUAACCAUUUGAAUUGAAUCAUUUUAAGAGAUGUGUAGAGCUGGUGUGGGCCAGUUUACAUGCUGUUUGCCAAUCUUCCUCUGAUAACUCUAGUAGUAAGUCUUCUUUCCAAGCCUUAAGUCUAUCAUGAGAUCCUUCAGAUAUAUGUAACAUUAUUGAGUGAUAAAACUCUGAUAUGAUACCUUUCUUCAAACUGUCCUUUGUUAACAUUUUUUCUAAAGUUGACUUGGCAGGCUUUGUCAACUCAUUAUUUUGAUUUGUUCUUAUGAAGCUUCUGAGUUGGCGAUAUUAAAAAAAAUGUUUUCUAACUAGGUGAAAUUUAUGUUGCAGAUCCUGAAAGCUCAUUAGUAUGUCUGAGUCUGGUACAUAAAGAUUCCGAAACAUUUGGAGUCCUUUGUCUUUCCAUACUUUAAAUAUUGAAUCAGCUCUACCGGAUACAAAAAAUUGGUUACCCCACACCGGACUGAACAGCGAUAAACAAUUUGGUUCAUUUAAAAUUUUUCUUAUAUCUCUCCAUCUCUCCAUCAUAGUCUUAAGAAAUGGAUUUUUAGUAUGUUUCAGAAGCUUUGAUAUUGAAUUUGAAUAUAAAUAUGAAGGCAGAGUCAAUUUCAAAUCCUGAGUCUCCAUGUCAGUCCAAUGUGGAGAAUGAUUACUGUAAUAAAACAUCAUAGACCUCAACUGCACAGCAUAGUAAUACAAGUGAAAAUUUGGGCACUUCAAGCCUCCUCGGUCAUAAGGGAGGUACAGUAAAGACAAACAGAAUCUGGAUUUCCUAUUGUUCCAUAAAAAAUGCAACAUCUUCGUCUUUAUUUGUGAAAAGAAUUCAGGAGGAGGGGGAAGAGCAACAUUCUGAAAUAUAUAGAGUAGUUUUGGCAAUAUGCUCAUUUUUAUUAUAUUUAUUCUUCUAAUCAUAGAUAUUGGUAGUGGCAUCCAUCUUUCAAAUGAAUUAUCUACUUCAUUCAAUAUGAGUUUAUAAUUGGUCGCAGCAACCUGUUCAAGAUCUGAAGAGAUGUGUACCCCUAAAUAUUUAAAUUCAUUAACUAUUUUAAACUGUAAUACAUCUGAGGAUGGGCUAAUUCUUUCAUUAAUAGAAUAGAAGACUUAUUUUUGUUUAUUUUGUAUCCAGAUAUCUCACUAAAUAAUUUAAUUAUUUCCAUAAUAAUUUGUAUUGAUCGACUUCAUUUUGAUAUGAAUAAGAUCACAUCGUCUGCGAACAAGGAAAUCCUGUGUUCUGUAGGUCCAACAGUGAUUCCAGUGAGAUGAGGGUGUGAUCCCAAAAGUUAUGGGGGGAGGAGAGGAGAGAAUGAAUAUUUUAGCCACGUGAAAUAAUCCGUUCCCCCUCCAAAACACAGGAACAAAUUAAUUCACCAACAAGUCUUUAACUGUUUUUACUCCUUUCAUCAUCAAUAAUAAAUCAUGUAAGUUUGGUAGCAUUUACUCUUUUUUUGACAAAGUUAUGAGAGGGGAACCAUUCUGGGAAUCAACAAUCAACACCACCACUGGACUUUAGUGGUAAUAAAUGUUUUUAAACUCUAAAAAAAAUCUAUAUCAUACUUAUCACAUAGACAAAAACCACAUGAAAACUGUCGAAUGCCCACUUUCUAGGUGAUCUACCCACAAGAGAAAAAGUCUUUGUUCUUGAAUCCACUGGGGAAACCAAAACAAGACAUCCAGAAAUGUUUGCAAAUCACAAGGUAUGGUUAAAAAUGUAAGUUUAACUCAAGUAUGAAAAUCAAAUAAAGUUGUUCUUAUUAAUAUAUCUAUAUUUACAGGGCAUUUAUGAGGAAGAAGGGGUGCAAUGUUGGACAUGUGACAGCAUCCAAAACAAGAUAGUACAUCAUGUGGUGUAUUUUCACUGAAGGUGCAUACAUAUUGUCACACAGUGUAUGACUUUAGGAUUUUGAUAUAUAUUUUGAGACAUGUACAGUGAAUUACUUUCUUUGUUACUUAAAUUUAAAGCCAUUAAAUGAAGCUGUUCAUUUCAGUUUGCAGAAAAAAUCCUAUCAAAAGAGGUUGUGGAUUUUCCUGUUUCCAGAGAGGCGGACUACAGCAUGAGGUUGAAAAUUGUUGUGAGACUUAUCCUUAACAGUGAGGACCUAAAAGACUUGUGUCACUUCUGUGGAGAGAUGGAAAGUGACACGGAUGUGAACUGGGUAGGAAAGUUUUUAGAACUAUUCAAAGACUUAGUGUUAGUAAACUAAAUGAAGAGGACAAGUUUUAUCUAAUCUUAUCUUGCGUAAACAAGCUAUGAUAUGAUCCUCCAGCAGUUGGAAUAUAAGGGAAUCUAAAAUUAUUGAUUGUAUAUUGUAAUUGUAAAGACAUAUUUUUCUAAAAAAAACAAAAAAAACUGAUAUUUUUGGUUUCUUUCCUAGAUCCAGUGUGACAUGUGUCUGAGGUGGUUCCAUCAUGUGUGUGUUGGAAGCCCACCAACUGGAAAAACUUAUCACUGCUUUGCCUGUUUGCCUUAGUUGCCUUAGUUUGCCUUUGUUCCUGAGUUUGCUGUGGUGUGCUUGUUUAUGUAUGUUGUUUAAUGGUUAAUAAAUUACAUUUUGAAAACUGUUUGAUUUUUAUACUUACAAGACUUUGAUAUAAGGCAGCUAUGGAAAAAAAGUUUAAAUCCCAAGGCCCCUUAUCUUUGAGAAAUGAAGAGCAAAUGUUUCCAAAGCACAGUUUAAACACUUUCUUGUAAAUUAAUUUGUUCCCAUGUUGUAGAGGGGGAACGGAUUAUUUCAGGUGGCUAAAAUAUAUGGUUCCCCCCUCAUAACUUUGACAAAUAAUGAUCAAAUGUUACCAAAUUCACACGAUUUAUCGUUGAUGAUAAGAGGAAUAAACACAGUUAAAGACUUGUUGGUAAAUUAAUUUGUUCACAUUUUAUGAAGGGGGAACUGAUUAUUUCAGGUGGCUAAAGUAUAUGGUUCCCCCCUCAUAACUCUGGCAAAUAAUGAGCAAAUGCUACCAAACUUACAUGAUUUAUUAUUGAUGAUGAAAGGAAUAAACACAGUUAAAGACUUGUUGGUAAAUUAAUUUGUUCCUGUGUUUUGGAAGGGGAACGGUUUAUUUCAAGCAGCUGAAAUAUCCAUUCUCUCCUCUCCUCCCCCCAUAACUUUUGGGAAUAAAGAGCAACUGUUGCUAAAUUCCCCAAAAUUAUUAUGUGUGAUAGCCUGUAGUGUACUAGAAAUUUCCUUACUACUGUAAUCUGUCAUAUUUUACAUUAUAAUGGGAUUUACCAGAAAGUCUACACUCUCGUCUUUUCAGGAAGUCUUAAUUUUUGUGCCAUGCUUUCAGCCCGCUUCCAUCCUCUUAUGUCAGCAAUGAAAAAUUAUAAAUACACACUACGUGUUG